rnacentral:misc_RNA from 1 species
ACUGGAGCUGGAAUUGGUUCUGACGGCAGCUGGAUUGUUGUCGUUCUGACUACUAACACACCUGAAGGAAGCUUUGUGACUUACAAUGCAGCCAGCCUGACAACCAAGAUUGGUCCUGUAUCUCGCUUAUUGUUUUUGCUGAUGGCUUCUUUCUUCCUGUUGUAAACUAAAUUUGUGGUUAGCAUUGAUUCUCCUGACUACCAAUUAGUCCUGGAAGGUUAUCAAUUAUAGACCGCCUCCUACUAAUGUCCUGUAGAUCAGUGGGCAAAAAGAAUAAGCGAGAUACAGGACCAAUCUUGGU